AGAGUUUGAUCCUGGCUCAGGAUGAACGCUGGUGGUAUGCUUAACACAUGCAAGUCGAACGGUCUUUUCGGAGAUAGUGGCGGACGGGUGAGUAACGCGUAAGAAUCUACCUUCAGGUUCGGGACAACCACUGGAAACGGUGGCUAAUACCGGAUGUGCCGAGAGGUGAAAGGCUUGCUGCCUGAAGAAGAGCUUGCGUCUGAUUAGCUAGUAGGUGUGGUAAAGGCGCACCUAGGCGACGAUCAGUAGCUGGUCUGAGAGGAUGAUCAGCCACACUGGGACUGAGACACGGCCCAGACUCCUACGGGAGGCAGCAGUGGGGAAUUUUCCGCAAUGGGCGAAAGCCUGACGGAGCAAUACCGCGUGAGGGAGGAAGGCUCUUGGGUUGUAAACCUCUUUUCUCAGGGAAGAAAAAAAUGACGGUACCUGAGGAAUAAGCAUCGGCUAACUCCGUGCCAGCAGCCGCGGUAAUACGGAGGAUGCAAGCGUUAUCCGGAAUGAUUGGGCGUAAAGGGUCCGCAGGUGGCAUUGUAAGUCUGCUGUUAAAGAGUCACGCUCAACGUGAUCAAGGCGGUGGAAACUACAAAGCUAGAGUGUGGUCGGGGCAGAAGGAAUUCCUGGUGUAGCGGUGAAAUGCGUAGAUAUCAGGAAGAACACCGGUGGCGAAGGCGUUCUGCUAGGCCAAGACUGACACUGAGGGACGAAAGCUAGGGGAGCGAAUGGGAUUAGAUACCCCAGUAGUCCUAGCCGUAAACGAUGGAUACUAGGCGUAGCUCGUAUCGACCCGAGCUGUGCCGUAGCUAACGCGUUAAGUAUCCCGCCUGGGGAGUACGCAGGCAACUGUGAAACUCAAAGGAAUUGACGGGGGCCCGCACAAGCGGUGGAGUAUGUGGUUUAAUUCGAUGCAACGCGAAGAACCUUACCAAGGCUUGACAUGUCACGAAUCCCGGCGAAAGUUGGGAGUGCCUUCGGGAGCGUGAACACAGGUGGUGCAUGGCUGUCGUCAGCUCGUGUCGUGAGAUGCUGGGUUAAGUCCCGCAACGAGCGCAACCCUCGUUUUUAGUUGCCAGCAUUAAGUUGGGCACUCUAGAGAGACUGCCGGUGACAAACCGGAGGAAGGUGGGGAUGACGUCAAGUCAGCAUGCCCCUUACGUCUUGGGCUACACACGUACUACAAUGCUACGGACAAAGGGCAGCUACACAGCGAUGUGAUGCGAAUCUCAUAAACCGUAGCUCAGUUCAGAUCGAAGGCUGCAACUCGCCUUCGUGAAGGAGGAAUCGCUAGUAAUUGCAGGUCAGCAUACUGCAGUGAAUUCGUUCCCGGGCCUUGUACACACCGCCCGUCACACCAUGGAAGUUGGUCACGCCCGAAGUCGUUACCCCAACCGCAAGGAGGGGGAUGCCUAAGGUAGGACUGAUGACUGGGGUGAAGUCGUAACAAGGUAACC
rnacentral:rRNA from 1 species